UACGUAGGGUGCAAGCGUUUGUCCGGAAUUAUUGGGCGUAAAGAGCUCGUAGGCGGUCUGUCGCGUCUGCUGUGAAAACUCGGGGCUUAACCCCGGGCCUGCAGUGGGUACGGGCAGACUAGAGUGCGGUAGGGGAGACUGGAAUUCCUGGUGUAGCGGUGAAAUGCGCAGAUAUCAGGAGGAACACCGGUGGCGAAGGCGGGUCUCUGGGCCGUAACUGACGCUGAGGAGCGAAAGCAGUGGG
rnacentral:rRNA from 1 species